rnacentral:pre_miRNA from 1 species
CAAAUUUAACCUUCUCCUGAUGUAAGGUCCAUUACAUCAGGAAAAGGUUAAAUUUGUG